rnacentral:lncRNA from 1 species
UUGUAACCAUGGUGUGGUUGUGUUAUAUAGGUGCGCUUAUUUUGCCACUUGGUCAGUGUCACACCCAGUUUUGGAAGGUAAAUCGAAUGCGAACCAUGUACGUGCCAGGAUCAGAACUCACGUACACAACGAUUACAUAAUUGGACAUUGUUGGGGGCCUUCGGCUUACGAAGGUCCUCAAAAACAGGAUUUAACAGUAUUUCUGGAGUAUAAUGUGUGUGAACAGGUAUCUUCGGACUCGAGUCGGUAUCACAGUAGGAGAAGCCCAAAAUAAUACGAAGGUUGAUACAACGCCGAAGAUGUGAGCGGGAAAGCUUCGGUGUGGUGGCAGAAAGUGAAACCGACUUAAAGAUGAAAAGGCCAUUCAGACCUCGGUGGAUUACUAUAGAAUUAUUACCAAAUGUAAAUGGCAUGAAUGUAAUUCUGUAUGAGCUGUGUCACAUGCCUAUAAAUAGGUGAACAGUAUCUCCGUACUGUUCACGCUGAUCGGUCAAUCACUUUUGCGUCACGCUUGUACUUUCAUUUCCUUCAAGCUGAAGGUACAUUUGUAAUUCGAUGUUAUUUCUGUUUCUACAUAACAAUAAUGCAAAAAUAAAUUAAUAAUAAUAAUAUGCAAUUGUCUAUGUUAUUCUUUAUAAUCCAUCCUCCGUCAUUGUAUUUAUGAAGGUACGCCCUUCAUAACCUUCGUCCGAAAGUCAUUAUAUCCUAAGGGGAAUAAUGCUUCGAAGGACGAAGGACUUUAACGAUUAACAUUUUUCUAUGUUGCCUUGUUCUUAACUUGAAGCGUUUGAGAACAAGUCCCCAACAUUGGCGCCCACCUCCGGUGAACUCACUUCCACUCUGAGUUUUCUGAACACCUUCGGCGAUCAUAAACCUUCGCUAUGGCGCCGAAGAAAGCUUCAGCAACUGGCACUGCAGCUCUUCAACCGCUGGACCACAAUCAGGAAACUGUCUCUCUUCAGGAGGCCCGAAGCCAGAAAAGGAAGGCUGUUAGCCCGACACCACUAGAGGAUGAGAUAGACCAAGAAAUCAGAGACAUGGAGAUGCUUCACCAACAGGUGCAGAAGAAGAAGGAAAAGAUGGCCAGGCUAGCUGAACUACAAAGGCAGAUAGACGAAGCCUCUGAGGAAGUUCGUCAUCUUACUCAGGAUGAGCAACACCGAAGGCCUCAGCACCAAGACCUUCAUCAGGAGGGUUUCCUCAAUGAAGAUGACUGGUAUGACAAUUUCCAUCAUGGGAAUUUUGUUUUUGAUGAUGCUUCUCCUCUGUCCGCUGAGCUGUAGGCUACACCUUGGCCUUCGUCCUACAAGCCGCCUCAGCUUCCCAUAUUUGAUGGUCACUCAGACCCGAAGCAGUUUUUGAUGAGCUACGAAGCAACAGUAUCUUCGUAUGGUGGCAAUGCUGCGGUCAUGGCCAAAUCUUUUGUUAUGGCUGUCAGGAGUGUUGCUCAAACCUGGUACUCCUCCCUUCGACCAGGAACCAUCACUUCAUGGCAAAAGCUGAAGGACUUGUUGUUAACCAGCUUCCAAGGGUUCCAGACGAAGCCGGUCACGGCUCAAGCUCUAUUCCAGUGCACCCAGGAUCACGAAGAGUACCUUCAGGCGUACGUCCGGAGGUUCUUGCGUUUGAGGGCACAGGCACCAACAGUGCCCAACGAAAUUGUCAUUGAGGCCAUGAUCAAGGGGCUUCGGCCAGGACCGUCAGCUCAGUACUUCGCUAGGAAGCCUCCUCAAACUUUGGAGAAGCUGCUCCAGAAGAUGGACGAGUACAUUCGGGCCGAUAAUGAUUUUCGCCAAAGAAGGGAGGAGGCUUUCAGGUUUUCUGAAAUGACCAGGGGCUUCGGAGGGAGGUUCUAUCCGAGGCACGUUAGAUCAAUUCAUAACUCUACCCAAAAUGACGAUAGAGGGAGCCAACAGCAAAGGCCACAGUGUUCCUCACAAGCUUCGGGGCAACAGCAAGGCUCUUUCCGACCACCAGCUCCGAGAGGCAGAGGCGCCAGGGGCUUCGGCGGAAGAUUUGGCGAUCAACCGAGAAGAAUCUUUUGCCUAUUCUGUGGUGAGAACAAAGGUCAUACCACCAGGAUGUGCCAUGUUACCAUCCAGAAGCAAAAGGAAAUAGCCGAAGCGGCAGCACAACAAGCUCAGUCGAAGCAGGUCAUGCACACUGCUUCGUAUCAUUCGCCUUACAUCCCAGAGUAUGUAGGCAAUCACCCUGCAGUUUCUGUUGCUUCGGCGAGUCAACCUCAAGCUUCCUGGCAACAGCCUCCGCCUCCACCACCGCUGCAACAAGGCCAGCAGCCAGAAGGGAGCCAAUAUGCUCCACACCAAAGGGACUUCAGAGAACAGUCCGAAGCUCGCACAGUCAACAGCACUGUGCCAGAGUCAAAGCACAUCUAUUGACAAAUAUCCUACAUAGAUAGCAGUCUUUUUUAUUCAGUUCUAUUUUCCGUGUAACAAAGGACAUCUUUUAAAUUUCAUGUAAUAGUUUCGUUCUUUGCCACAAGGAAAAUAUAUUUUCUCCACAGGUUUAAGUUGGCAAAGUAUAAAGAUUUGUAAUAACAAGGAGGACCUUCGAAUUAUCAAAAAAUUCUUCGAAGCAACAAAAAAGUCGUUCUAAGGAACGCAGAGUAAGUUUGCUGAAGUCAUAAAAAGCCGUUCCAAGGGGAGCGCAGUGUAAGUUUUCUGCUCCAAAGUCGUUCCUAAGGGAAUGCAGAGCUUACAGCGAAAAGUCAACGCUGAUUCCGCCGAAAGUAAAAGGCGAAGAAGCUCCAAAGUCGUUCCUAAGGGAAUGCAGAGCUUACAGCGAAAAAUAAACGCUGAUUCCGCUGAAGUAAAAGGCGAAGAAGCUCCUAAGGGAGGCUUAUAAAAGAUUGUGUGUUUUAUUGCAGGGAUGUGUGUGUAUCUUCGGAAUAAACACCACCUCGCAUAACAUAACAUCAUCGCAUCAUUUCGCAUAGCAUAAGCAUCAUACAUCAUGUUGCAUAUGGCACAAGAGGCGGACGCAAUAUCAAUCUGUAGAAGAACGUUUCGAAAAAAGGGAAAAAUCAUGAUGUCACAAGGAGAUACAUUAUUGAUCUUCAGAAGUGUAGCUUCGGAAAAUAUCUUCACGAAGCCUGGAUAUUAUUCAUCAGAACACUAUGGAGAUUGUUGUGACAAAGAAAAAUUCUUCUUCACGAAGCAUGAAAAGAAGGGAAGGUGUUUUUUCGUCAAAAACUCAAAAAUGGUAUGUGUAAAAUUUCAUGCAUCGUAAAGAAUUGAACAAUAAAAACAGGUAUAUUACAUUCAGGGUUAUAAAAUGUUACAAUAUAUUACAUUUCAGAAGUUUUUAUAAUAAUACUUAAUCUUCUCUCAAAACGACUUCUGCAGCUUCGUUCAGGAGCCGAUUAACAACUUCAUCCAUGAUAGCUUCAGCCAUCUCUUUAAUUUCGUCGUCUCCUUUCGGGGGAGGUCCCGAAGACGCUUUAGUAGGAUCUGAAGGAGGACAGGAUGCGGCUACACUGCUAUCACAAAUUGCGAACGAAGUUUAAAAUCGAAAAUUACAACACAAUAAAAACCACUAGUUGAUACCUAUUUGUCCUUCGGGCUCUGCGCUUUUUUCAGCAGCUUCAGCCACUUCUCUAGCAUCGUGAAUGCCCUUUUCGCUUUUUCGAAUAAUUUCUCGGGCCAUUUCUCGGCCACCAUUAUCCCAGACGUCGGUGAAAAAUUUUCCACCUACCAUGCUAGCUUCGGCCGAAGGAUCUCUUGCAUCUUCAAAGGACAAGCCAGCUUCGGAUUGUGCUAAAAUUUUUACAUGCUCGCAGCCCUUUUUCUCUAAGAUGGUGGCAAUUCCCCUGGCACCUGAGAAAGCGCAUAUGUCUCCGCGGCUGUUUAAAAUUUCCUCGAAAGCCUCAGCUUCGUGAUCGAUCCAUUCGAUAGGGCCUUUGGGGUCGCCUCUUGUAAAGUUUUCUUCGCUCGAAAAAGCGCCGACACUGGCGAAGCUAGCUUUCAACUUCUUCACACACUCUAUAGAUUUGUUAUAACAUCUUUUCUUGGAUGAACGAAGCUCUUCAACAGUUCCCUCUAAAUGAUUUGCCCAUUGGUCACUGAGUUCUCGUUUCGUUUCUUCAAGCAUGCGUUCCUCUUUGGCUCUGGCCAGUUGUUUUCGAAGAUCUUCAAUUUCGCGUUUCUGAGCUUCAGCUUGACCUUUAAAAGUAGCUUCGUCUUCCUUUAUUUUAUUUAUUAAUGAAUGUAAUAUUUUAUCUUUUUCGAGACCUUCGUUCCUCAGUUCAAUUACUUCGGAACGAAGGUUGCUUAGGGCUAUAGCACACCCUUCGUCUUCAGCAUCUUUUUGGGCCCUAAGGGCAUUGCUAAGUAUCAGGCCCUGCAAAGAAGAAUAUGUGUAUGUCAUUAGAUUUAAGCAAACGAAAAUUUUUGGUUUCAACAAAAAAUACAAAGUUCCCAUUUGUUGCACCUUUAAACUAUUAUAUGCCAGGCUGUCGGCCAGAUCGUUCUUCGACAGCACCGAGAGCCCGUCUUCUAGUGUUGGGAAUCCGAAGCUCUUGCUCAUCUCCCGACAGACAGAAAUCUCCUUACUGUCAGGGAGACAAUACAAAAAGUCUUCUUCUCCACUACCAUUGAAUAUUAACGCCCCCUUUGGAUACUUCAGUUUUUGGGCAUAGCGCUGGGCCUCUUGCUUUUCUUUUUCUGAUAAUUUUUUCCCCGAAGCAUGACGAACAAUAUAAUCAAGGACUUUGGGGGAUGCUUCGGGGGCAAUGACACUGAUUUCUUCAAAAGUUGGCCCUGUUAUUUUUUCUUCUUCGGUUUCCAAGGAUUUUAUCUUCGUGGGCUCUGAGGACCCAACUUCGGCUUCAGUUUCUUGCUCUGGAACUUUAAUAUCAGAAAUUUCAGUUUUUGCUUCGGGAAUGGCAACAGUUUUCUUCGGAGGUGUGCUUGAUGAUUUAAUUGUUUCCAGAACAUCUAGCACAUUAGCCAUUCUCUUUCUUUUCGGAGUCACUGCUAGCACCUUUCGAUUUUUUACUAUCUCAACAUUUGCUGCAGGACUAAAAACUUCUGAUGUUUUUUCCUCAGUUGGUUUUUUCACUUCUUCCAUUUUUUCUGUGGAUGGCGCUUCGGCCACCUCUUUUGUUUCUGGUAACAAAAUCUUCGGUUCUUCCAAUUCUAUCCUUGUUGGCGCUUCGGCCAUUUCUGCGACUUCUGGCAACAAGGUUGGUUUGGUUGGCUUUUCUGCUUCGGUGGCCGAAGAGGUUUCUCCGGUGAACUCAAGCACCGAAGCUAGUUCAAUAUAGCGCGGCCGAUGUGUGAGGACUUUUAUCCUCUUUCUUUUCGGUUCUGGCUCGCUAGGAGCAGUUGCAGCUUCUUCUUUCACAGAGAUUGUGUUUUUUCUUUUCUGCCCUCGAAUGGGAUAACGAUAGUCAGGGUAGACGAACCCGAUUGCAUCAAACACCCGAUUCAGCCUCUUCUUUUUUCGGCCUCCGAAGGCUGCUGACAGUGCAGUAUCUUCGGCCUUCGAAUAAGCCCCGAGCAGUUCAUCACUUAAAUUUUCAAUGCUUUUUAACCAGUCAUCAUCUGGCUCAACGUAUUUAUCUCCGAACUUAAAAGUAUACUUCAGCCUGAUAAGUCCACCUUCGUCGGCUUCUUUUAUGUUUUCUUGCGGCAUUUCCCAUUUCUCCGCGAGCGGCCAUACCCUGAAGGCAAUAUGCUCUUGUACCAAAUCUCUCGUUCCAAUAAAAGAACAAAUAACGCCGAAGGCUCUCUGGCAUUCUUCGGCAGCUUCAUUCAUUUCAACCUUCGGCCUCCGAAGGCCGAAGCUUUGCCAAAUAGGGCGCAUAAUUAUACCUUUGAUAUCUUCUCGUACUGUCAGGUCAUUCUUCACAUAAAACCAUUCUGUCAUCCAGUCGCCGGGCCAUCUCUUCCGAAAGGUUGGCACGGGACAGCUUGACCCGGACCGAGAAACGAAACUGUAGCAGCCAAAAUUGUUGUGAUACUGUUCUUUACCCCAAGGUUUUGUUUCGCAUAAUAACUCGUGUAUAUUGCAGAAACUUUUUGCAUCAGGCUUCAGACCUUGGCUUCUCACGGCCCACACGAAGAUAUUCAGCCUUAUGAUUGCCUCGGGGGUAAGUUGGUGAAGAUAAACUUCGAAUAUUUUCAGCACCUCUAUGACAAACUCGCUCAAGGGAAAUCGUAGUCCAGCUUUUAAAAAGCUUCGGUACACUACGACUUCAUUCUCUUCAGGGUGUGGACAAGUUUUUCCCCUUCGUCGGCCCUCACAAUGGACAGAUCCCGGAAAUACCUUCCUCUCAUGUUGACAAGAUGAUUUUCUUUGAUAGUUGAUUUGCCGAAAACCGCAUGGCUUGGUCGCCAAGGGCGAUCUUUGGAGUCUUCACCACCACUGUCCACAUCAUAACUGUCGCUGUCACCAGUAUCUUCAGACAAACCUUCCAGAAUCUCCUUGGUGAUUUUUUCUGUAUUGGUCUUCGACAUCGCUAUAAGAAACCCCAAGUUCUUCUCUUCGUCGAGACUCAGCUUCAUCUCAGCAGCAGCCUUCUUAUCUUCAGACAUCUUCGGAAACACUAAAAAACUGUUUUCAAAGCCGAAGCUUCAAAACUAAAAGCUCAGCAAAUCUUAGUGAACAAGAGCUAAAAAUUGAGUGAGCGGGAGCAGAUGGCAAGAGAGCGUGCCAAAUGAGUUUGCGGUAUGACCGUAUUUAUACGCCCAGUGCGUUGAAAAUUGAAAGACCCCGCUUGUCAGUGAAUGUUGCUAUUCUAGCAAAGGGAAGGUGUUUUUUUGGACCUUCGGCGUAAAGCCUUCGUCCAUGUCGCAAUCUAAAUUUAUUAUUUCAAACAAAUUAAUAUUGCGAGGGGCUACUGUUGGGGGCCUUCGGCUUACGAAGGUCCUCAAAAACAGGAUUUAACAGUAUUUCUGGAGUAUAAUGUGUGUGAAC